AUACUCAUUGAAUAGUUUGUAUAGUUCAAUGAUUAUACAAUGCUGGAGCGCGCAUAGAAAAGAGAUAAGGAGCGCGCACAAGUCGUCAAAAAACAAGCCGGCUCCUCGUUGAAUCGCUUUAUCCACCAUUGCAGGGCAACAGGACUGGAUGGCUGAUGGUAGUGCGUUAAGGCGUUAAGCCGUUUCACAAUUUCGAUCAUUUUAUGGCGUCAUAUUCUGUUUACUAGUUAAAGUCCCGCUUUAUUGUACACUCAAUCAAACUUAUGUAACCAUGGUCAUUUCGUGUUCCUCAUAUGGGUGCACAAACAGGCAGCAAAAAGGAAGUGGUAUACAAUUUCACCGCUUUCCUCUAAAAAGGCCACCCGUUUUGGCAAAGUGGAUACAUGAAAUGAAACGCAAAAACUUCAAACCUUCUGAGUACCUAUAGCUAUUUAUGCAGCGAACACUUUACAAAUAAAGACUAUCAAAUCCGUCCAGGAUCAAAUGUGAAAUGGUUAAAAGAUGAGGCUGUUCCGUCUAUAUUUAAAGAGUUUCCUCAACAUUUACAGAAGAAAAAAAUUGUUCGGCGGUUGUUACAAAGACAUCCAUUGAUUGACAAUAAUUGUGAUAUAUCUGUCGAUACGGUCGAUAUAGAAUGUUCCAGUGCAAAUAUGGUACCAUAUAUGGAUCUAACUAAGAGUUCAGAACGUUUUUAAAAUAAUAGUAAAAGUAUACAGUGUUCCAUACAAUCUCCAACAAAGGCAAUUUUGAGAAAAAAAGUAAAAGUAUUACAACAACGCCUUAAGCGAAGAGAAACAAAAAUAAAAUCAUUAAAAAGUCUUGUCAUGUGCAUUAAGAAAAACGUCCCGAUGUCAGAUGGUGUGACGGCACAGCUAGAAGAACAUUAUACCUUUAGUUUUAUUACUGCAUGAACGCAAAACUAAAAAAAUUGGGAAAAAAUGCCAUACGCUAUAGUGAUUCUAUGAAAGAGUUUGCUAAAGUGCUUUUCUUUUAUUCUCCUAGAGCUUAUAAGUAUGUAUGCACACUUUUUAGACUUCCUCAUCAUUCAACUAUUUGAAGCUGGAUGAGCACUAUGGAAUGUGAGCCUGGGUUUUUGGAAGGAGUCUUCAAAUUUUUAUAACUUGAAAUAACUUAAAAGACUUGGUUACAAGACUGUUCAUUAGUUUUUGAUUCUAUGUCGAUCAGAAAACAACUAAUUUGGGAACCUGAUAAAGGCAAAUAUGCUGGAAAUGUAGAAUUUAAUGUUGGUGAAAGUACAGAGCUUGCUACUGAAGUUUUAGUUAUUAUGGUUGUUUGUUUAAUUGUUUUUUUUUAUGUAAAUAAGAUAAAUAGUGGUGUAUUAAGUACAUUAUUAUCUACAGCUAUUGUAAAACUGCAUGAGGUAGGCAUUCAGGUCUAGAAUGUAACGUGUGAUGGUGCUUCUGCAAACGUACAAUGUUUUAAAAAGUUGGGCUGUAGUUUUGAUAUAGACAACUUUAAUAGAAAAUUCACUAUAGAUAAAUCAAUAGAAAUAUAUUCUUUGUUAGACACUUGCCACAUGCUUAAGCUAGCUCGUUCUUCUUUAGCUGACAAACAAUUAUUCAGUAAAAAAAUGGUGAUAUAAAAUUGUCAUAUUUAUACUCUUUGAACUCUUUUCAAAAUAAAUUAGGAUUAAAAUUUGCAAAUAAGCCAACUGCACAUAUUAAUUACAUAAAUUCAGUCAUGAAGGUCAAACUUGCAGCACAAACGUUGAGUAGUGGGGUUGCCGAUGCAAUUGAAUAUUUGUGUCAAAAACACGAACCUUCUUUUACAAAUAGCUAAGCUACAGAGUAUUUUAUUAGACAAAUUGACCGCCUGUUUGAUAUUCUGAAUUCUAGAAUACCAUUUUCUAAAGGAUAUAAGAGUUCUAUACAUGCUGAUAAUAUUAACACUAUAAUGUCUGUAUUUAAUGAUACUACUGAUUAUUUAAAAACAUUAAAAUGUGAUGGAAGUCCGUUAGUAUUAGGUGGGAGAAAAAUGUUCAUAUUAGGAUUUAUUGUUACAAUGUCUUCUACUUUACAAAUUGCUUAUAAACUUCUAUAUAGAUCUCAAAGUCCCCUUAAAUUUGUCUUGACAUACAAAAUGUCAUAGGAUCAUCUUGAAUUUUUUUUGGUUGUGUAAGAGCGAGAGGAGGGUCUACAAUAACCCAAAUUGUGUUCAAUUCAAAAAAAAGUUUAAGGCAAUUACUAUUUACCAUAAACAUAACUGUGGAAAAUGGAAAUUGCUCUCAUUUUGUUAUUCCUAGAGAAGAUGUUUUGGAUUUCCAUUGUGAAAAAAGAAGCUUUAUAACUGAAGAUAGUGAAAAUAUAUUUGAAUCUGAUAUUAAUAAUUAUUUAGAUAUUCUUAAUAGUGGGGUUAAAUACAGUUAGGAGAGAACACAGGUGAAAUACUAUAUUACACAGGAUAUAUCAUAAGAACUAAGAAGUAUAUGCAAAAAACUUGUGUGUCCUUUCUGUGUAGGUAUAUUAUUAAGUUCUCAAUCAGAUCAUAACUAUAUAGCAGGUAUUCAGCUUACAUCUUUUGUAAGUCGAGGAAGAUUAAAAAUUGUAACUAAGGCUGUAUCUUUGAUUAUCAAGGAAUUAGAAAAAUCUUUUUAGACUAUAGUUGUAAUAAAAAAAAUAUUACACAAGAAUGUGAAACAAAGUAUCAUUAUGUUAACAAAAAAAAAAAAAUAUAUCAAAUAAAAAUUCAUUAUUUUUUCCCCAAAUUAUCACCCUAUUAAUGUUGAUUUAUGUUCUUCAUCUCAUGAAUAUAGUCUGUUUACAGCUAUAAGUAAUAGUUAUAUCAAUAUAAGAUUAAACCAUUAUGCAAAAGAAAUUAAUUCUAGUGAAGUAUUUAAAAAUAAAUCUUCACUGAGGCAAAAAUUCACUUAAUUAAUUUUGUUUAAUAAUUUAAAAAAAAAUUAGAUUUGUAUGUUUUUUAAUUUUUUUAAGGUAAUAUUAAAAAUAAGUGUAAGACUGGCAUUUGUUAAGAAAUGCUUUAUAAGUUCUCAUGUAACAUAUUAUAUACCUUUAGGAUUUAAGUAUUACCUAGUAUAAGCACAAAUAUUGUUAAUUUUUUAUUACCUUUACCUAAUAAUAUGUUAAUUUAAGUACUUACUUCAUUUAUAUGAUGUUGUACCUAAUAUAAAUAUUCGAAAAAUAA